UACGGAGGGUGCAAGCGUUGUCCGGAUUUAUUGGGUUUAAAGGGUGCGUAGGCGGCCUUUUAAGUCAGUGGUGAAAGCCCAUAGCUCAACUAUGGAACUGCCAUUGAUACUGAAAGGCUUGAGUACAGACGAGGUUGGCGGAAUGGAUGGUGUAGCGGUGAAAUGCAUAGAUACCAUCCAGAACUCCGAUUGCGUAGGCAGCUAACUAGGCUGUAACUGACGCUGAGGCACGAAAGCGUGGGGGAGCAAACAGG
rnacentral:rRNA from 1 species